rnacentral:rRNA from 1 species
UACGUAGGGUGCGAGCGUUAAUCGGAAUUACUGGGCGUAAAGCGUGCGCAGGCGGUUCGUUGUGUCCGAUGUGAAAGCCCCGGGCUUAACCUGGGAAUGGCAUGGGAAACUGGCGGGCUGGAGUGUGGCAGAGGGGGAUGGAAUUCCGCGUGUAGCAGUGAAAUGCGUAGAUAUGCGGAGGAACACCGAUGGCGAAGGCAAUCCCCUGGGCCUGCACUGACGCUCAUGCACGAAAGCGUGGGGAGCAAACAGG